rnacentral:lncRNA from 1 species
GCCCAAGCCAGCUUGGAUUUUCUCCUGCUCACCCAGCUGUCCCCAGGAACCCCUUGUGAAACAAGCACCUCCGUUGGAACUGUUCAACUUUCAACUUAAUUGGAGAGCUAAAAGUGGCCCUCAUUGAGUUACCCUGUGAGGAACUGAUACAAAAUGCUGAUCUGGCUGCUGUCAAGAGGAUGAAAUAGAUAAAGCAAGACAUAGACAAGUUCAGAGGUACUCGGUGUGCAGUGGUGAACAGAAUAGCUGUAUUGUCUGUACUCACGAGUAAUAGGAUUCUAGGAAAAAAUUCACGGCAUGCUCAGAUUUGAAAAAAAUAAAGAAUGCUGAGAAAAUAGAUUGGGUGAGAGAGUACACAAGAGGAAUCUGGAAUUGCAACAGAUGAAGAUGGCCUGGAUGCAGAUUUACAUUACAAUGUCUGAAUUCCUGGGAACUGUCAUAUUGUUCACCAUAGGGUGAGUGCAUAAUCAAAUGUCAGUGUUCACAGGUGACACAAAAGGCAGGAGGACAAUUUUACUAGGUUGGUGAGAGAAACUAAUGAGUUUCUCUGGGAGGCAAGUAUAGUGAAGUUUUACAAGGAGACCAGGAAAAAUGUUCACACUUAUUUUUCUAGGAUCAUGUGCUCUUAAUUAUUAACUGUAAACUUGAAACAUGUUUAGGAUUAUUAAAAAUUUUUUGUUUGUUUUUUUAAAUGUAAUGACAGAAUAGUGGUUGAUUGUGAUUAAAAAGAUCAAAUAAACAUUCUCUUUUUUUUUAAUGGUAUUAGACUUAUGUAGCCCAAUUUCUUUUAAGCACUCAGCUAGUAGGUUAACACCAGUUGGCAUGAUUGGUAUUUUGGGUAGUUACGUUGAAUUCAUCUUGGGAAAAUUUGCAAAAUAUAUUUUAUUGGCAUUUUUAUAUACUUUAUUAUUAUAGUUCUUAGUAGUACACGUUAAGGGAGACUUGAAGAAAUCUGCCAAAUUGCUAUUAAGUAGUUAAUAGUAUUGAAAUGCUAUUAAGUAUUAAUAGUAAGGAUAAAAGACAUAUCAAUCUGAUAUGAAAAUUCAUAAAAUAGCAGAUCCAAAUGGCCAAAUACACAUAAAACACGCUCAAACACAAUACUAUGGAAAUUUAAAAUAAAUGAACACUAAUUUUUUAAUCUAAUUUAAUUGGCAAAAAACAAGCCAUAAUAUAGAAAAACGAUGCUUUUAUUUACUGUUAAUGGAAAUAAGUUUACAUCCUUUUUGGACACAAUUUGAUGAUUACAAUGAAAAGACAUAUGGCUGUAAGUAACAGAAGUCUAAUACGGCAGUGGUAAAAUAAAACGCAGUCAUGCUUCACUUAAUGAUGAGGACAUGUUCUGAGAAAUGCAUCAUUAGGUGAUUUCUUUGUUGUGUGAAUAUCACACAGUGUACUUACACAAACCUAGAUGGUAUAGCCUACUAUGCACCUAGACUAUGUGGUGGCUCCUAGGCUAAAAUCCUGCACAGUAUAUUAUUGUACUUAAUACUGUAGUCAAUUGUAACACAAUGGUAUUUGUGUAUCUAAACAUAUCUAACCAUAAAGAAGGCAUAAUGAAAAUAUGGUAUAAAAGAUAAGAAAUGGUGCACCUGCAUAGGACACUUAACCAUGAAUGGAGCUGGCAGUACUGGAAGAUUGUCUGGGUUAAGUCAGUGAGUGAGUGGUCAGUGAAUAUGAAGACUUAGGACAUUAUGGUACACUAUCAUAGAUUUUAUGAACACAGUACACU